rnacentral:rRNA from 1 species
UACGUAGGGUGCAAGCGUUAAUCGGAAUUACUGGGCGUAAAGCGUGCGCAGGCGGUUGUGCAAGACAGAUGUGAAAUCCCCGGGCUCAACCUGGGAAUUGCAUUUGUGACUGCACGGCUAGAGUGUGUCAGAGGGGGGGGUAGAACUCCACGUGUAGCAGUGAAAUGCGUAGAGAUGUGGAGGAAUACCGAUGGCGAAGGCAGCCCCCUGGGAUAACACUGACGCUCAUGCACGAAAGCGUGGGGAGCAAACAGG